rnacentral:rRNA from 1 species
UACGUAGGUGGCAAGCGUUGUCCGGAUUUACUGGGCGUAAAGAGCGCGCAGGCGGUUAUUCAAGUCGAAUGUGAAAGCCCCCGGCUUAACUGGGGAGGGUCAUUCGAUACUGCUUAACUUGAAGGCAGGAGAGGGUAGUGGAAUUCCCGGUGUAGUGGUGAAAUGCGUAGAUAUCGGGAGGAACACCAGUGGCGAAGGCGACUACCUGGCCUGUUCUUGACGCUGAGGCGCGAAAGCUGGGGGAGCAAACGGGAUUAGAAACCCCCGUAGUCC